UUCUGUAUAAAUAUUUUAUUAUGUAUAAAAGACAACUUACAUGGGUAGAUGCUCUAUUAAAACAAAUCACAAGCUUUCUGUUUUCAUUAAAAGAUUCAAAUGCUUUAAAGAGCAUUUUAGAAUACCUCUUCCCUCUUCUACAGUGAUUAAUUAGGGACUGAUACCAAGUAGCAAAUGUACCACAACAUAGCAAUGGCUGGUGUUUCUAAUGAUGCUAUGACAAUGUCGAGGAGAGCACCAUACAGAAUCCAAGUUCAGAUUCAAGGCUUGGGCUCCUUGGUCCCCAAGUCAACAAAACCAGGCAGAGUUAUAGAAUCAAAUAGCCAAUCUGCAGACUUUUUAACAGACCUUUGCAAAACAUCUCCUUUGGGAUGUCAGCUGGCUCUGGCAAAUACAACUUCUCUUCAUUCUAUUUAAGACAGGGACAAUUGGAAAUAACAGUGGGAGAGAAAAAACAUAAGGAAUAAAGUGAAGCCCUGGAAAACAGCAUCAAAAGGGAAACUCAUUAAAGGAAAAAGCUGUCCAUAGAUCAGCUGCUUUUCUUAUAGUACAUAUAUUUGCUCAAUAUAGGAUUAACAUUUUAAUGUCAUCAUGUAAGCAUUCAAUCUUCUCACAGAUCAGAUCAGUUUUGUUUAGUGGUAUUAUUUUAUACAUGAGAUCCAUACAAAGGAGAUUUUUUUGUUUUCCUUUUGUCAAGACCUUAAAAAGGCACUACAAAAAGUAACCAAAAUACUACAAUGAUAGGACUGUAGUAGUUAUCUAUGUGGAAUUUCAUGUACAUCAUUAAAAAUACAGUGUGUUAUUUAAUUUGUAACCUGUCUUCAACUUCUUCCAGCUAGAUGAGCAAGCAAAAUGUUGCCAUGUUAAAAACUGAGUUGCACAACUUUUUUGAACUCUUCAUAUGGCUGAGAAGUUUAUGAGUAUCAGUACAUAAACUACCUAACAAAGAGCAGUCAGAACCUGAUGUGUGAACAGUCAACUAUACAUAAUUAUAGCUAAUUUCAUAUUAGGAUAUGUAGGUUUGAGUGUUGUUCAAGGCAUAAUAUGGUCCCAAGGUAUAAGGUUUCUCUCAAAAAUGAGAAAGUUAGGUUAGUGCAGUGACACUAAAGUUAUCUGAAGACUGAAGUACCCUGCAAGAGAGACUUUUCUGUUUGUUGUCAUAGGAAAAAUAAAAUAA
ensembl:lncRNA